rnacentral:rRNA from 1 species
GAUGAACGCUAGCGGCAGGCUUAAUACAUGCAAGUCGUGGGGCAGGCAGGGGUAGCAAUACUCGCUGGCGACCGGCAAACGGGUGCGGAACACGUACACAACCUUCCUUUUAGUGGGGAAUAGCCCAGGGAAACUUGGAUUAAUACCCCGUAAUACAUAGAGGUGGCAUCACUUUUAUGUUAUAGCUCCGGCGCUAAAUGAGUGGGUGGUGCGGCUGAUUAGAUAGUUGGCAGGGUAACGGCCUACCAAGUCUACGAUCAGUAGCUGAUGUGAGAGCAUGAUCAGCCACACGGGCACUGAGAC